UGGGCAUUGUCCUUGGUUUUGAUUCGACGAGUUGGUUGGGCUCAUGCUGACCCCACUGUUGAAUCCAGACCGACAACUCUUAGAAUCUAGUGGUAUUGAACCGAUAAGAAGAACAUUGAUCGGAGUCAUUUUUUUUAAUUUUCGAAUGAUUAUAACGAAACGUGGUAUGCUAGUUAAUGCUACUUAUUAUCCACCAUCGAUGAUAGCCUUAAUUCUCCAUGACAGUUAUCGGUUAACAAAAUAAUGAAUUUUUUUUCUAUAAAAAAGAAACAUAAAAGGGUCUUUGGAUAAGUUUUUCUAAUAGCCAAAAAUACUUUUUUGCCAAUUUUUUGUCUUACUAUUCCCAAAGCUCCAACUAACAUA
rnacentral:lncRNA from 1 species